GCUGGGUGCAGUGGUGCACACCUGUAAUCCAAGUGGCUCGGGAGGCUGAGACAGGAGGAUCAAGUGCAAAGCCAGCCUCAGCAACAGCAAGGUGCUAAGCAACUCAGUGAGACCGUGUCUCUA
rnacentral:sRNA from 1 species